UAGAACCACACAGAUGAUGACUGUUUUUGCAUCCCUGCAUGCUUUAUGUGCACUGAAACCGUGGUAAAUACUUCUUAAAUAUUAACAUAGAAGGUAAAAAGAAAUCAUAGCAGUCUAUCCUAUUACAGCAGUGGUCAGGAUGGCCGAGCGGCCUAAGGCGCCAGACUCAAGGUUUGACUCCUUCCUGAGUUAAGGGACUUCUGGUCUCCAAAUGGAGGCGUGGGUUCAAAUCCUACUCCUGACACAGCUUUACUGCAUUUUGUUGUCCCACUGUUAAUAUAGCGUUAGCCUCAGUGCAAAUUAUAUAUACAUUCCUUCUUAAAAUAUUAGGGUAGAAGGUAAAAGAAAAUCAUAGCAGUCUAUCCUAUUACACCAGCGGUCAGGGUGGCCGAGUGGUCUAAGGCGCCAGACUCAAGGUGUGACUCCUUCCUGAGUUAAGGGACUUCUGGUCUCCAAAUGGAGGCGUGGGUUCAAAUCCCACUCCUGACACAGCUUUACUGCAUUUUGUUGUCCCACUGUUAAUAUAGCGUUAGCCUCAGUGCAAAUUAUAUAUACAGUCCUUCUUAAAAUAUUAGGGUAGAAGGUAAAAGAAAACCAUAGCAGUCUAUCCAAACACUCCAGUAGUCAGGAUGGCCGAGUGGUCUAAGGCGCCAGACUCAAGGUUUGACUCCUUCCUGAGUUAAGGGA